rnacentral:tRNA from 1 species
UAGCUCAGAGGUUAAAGUGUCUGCCUGCAAUGCAGGAGACCCAGGUUCAAUCCCUGG